GUACGGGUUGUGAGAGCAAGAGCCCGGAGAUGGAUUCUGAGACACGAAUCCAGGCCCUACGGGGUGCAGCAGGCGCGAAAACUUUACAAUGCCGGCAACGGCGAUAAGGGGACCUCGAGUGCCAGGUUACAAAUCUGGCUGUCGUGAUGCCUAAAAAGCAUUGCAUAGCAAGGGCCGGGCAAGACCGGUGCCAGCCGCCGCGGUAACACCGGCGGCUCGAGUGGUAACCGUUAUUAUUGGGUCUAAAGGGUCUGUAGCCGGCCGGAUAAGUCUCUUGGGAAAUCCAGCAGCUCAACUGUUGGGCUUUCAGGAGAUACUGUCUGGCUCGAGGCCGGGAGAGGUGAGAGGUACUUCAGGGGUAGGGGUGAAAUCUUGUAAUCCUUGAAGGACCACCAGUGGCGAAGGCGUCUCACCAGAACGGACCUGACGGCAAGGGACGAAAGCUAGGGGCACGAACCGGAUUAGAUACCCGGGUAGUCCUAGCCGUAAACGAUACUCGCUAGGUGUCGGCCACGGUGCGACCGUUGUCGGUGCCGUAGGGAAGCCGUGAAGCGAGCC
rnacentral:rRNA from 1 species